ACCUGUGUUUAUAUUUGAUUUGAAGUCAUUUUGGUUGUUUUUGCUGACAAGACAGGUU
rnacentral:tRNA from 1 species